rnacentral:rRNA from 1 species
GACGCACGCUGGCGGCGUGCCUAAUACAUGCAAGUCGAACGCAGUGGGGACGGGUGAGUAACACGUGGGUAACCUCCCAUCAGAGGGGAUAACACUUGGAAACAGGUGCUAAACCGAUACUGAUGGAUGGACCCGCGGUGCCUUAGCUAGUUGGUGAGGUAACGGAUGACCAAGGCCACGAUGCAUAGACGACCUGAGAGGGUGAACGGCCACACGGGGACUGAGAAACGGCCCAGACUCCUACGGGAGGCAGCAGUAGGGAAUCUUCGGCAAUGGACGAAAGUCUGACAGAGCAACGCCGCGUGAGGGAAGAAGGUUUGCGGACCGUAAAACUCUGUUGUUAGAGAAGCGGUAUCUAGCCAGAAAGCCACGGCUAACUACGUGCCAGCAGCCGCGGUAAUUC